UGUUCUGUAGCUUAGUUGGUUAAAGCGCCAGUCUAGCGUACACGGAGUCGUGAGUUCGAGUCUCACUAGAACGC
rfam:Aedes aegypti strain Liverpool supercont1.316 genomic scaffold, whole genome shotgun sequence.